UACGUAGGGUGCGAGCGUUGUCCUUAAUUACUUUUCUUAAAUAUCUCUUAUUUGGUUUUUCGCUUUUUUCGUGAAAACUCACAACUCAAUUGUGGGCGUGCGGGCGAUACGGGCAGACUGGAGUACUGCAGGGGAGACUGGAAUUCCUGGUGUAGCGGUGGAAUGCGCAGAUAUCAGGAGGAACACCGGUGGCGAAGGCGGGUCUCUGGGCAGUAACUGACGCUGAGGAGCGAAAGCGUGGGGAGCGAACAGG
rnacentral:rRNA from 1 species